UCUUUGGACCCUUUCUUGUGUUCUAGGCUUGGUGAGAUGUAUGUCUGUCUUUAUAAAAAAAAAAAAAAAAAAAAAAAAAAGAAUCCAAGUAUCUGUGAGGCCUUCUCUGACAACAGGACAGUAAGGAUGUCAACAGAAUUGUUUCAUUAUACGUGCAAGAUCCAUAGGAUCUGUAAUGGGCGCUCUGGACAAUUAAUCUACAAAAUUGCUGCUGAGCAUUUGUGAUGGCAGAGGUGAGUUUUCAAACAGUGACAGCAGCACUUGGACACAUUGCUGGGGUAAUGUCAUUGUCAGCUUAUAACUUCUGCACGCUGCUCACUUCUAAUUGGAUUCAUGUUAUAUUCCAAAUCACGUGAUAAGCAAAAAGGAGACAUACCUUAUAUGCAAAAUCAUGAAAUUGUUGUUAGUGUAAUGGAAAUUUUAAUGGUCUAAUGUAUUAAUUAUUAUUAGUCUAGAUCUAAUUGUUAUGGGAGGAAAGGAAAAAGGAGGAAAGAAUAAAGGAGAGACGAAAGGAGAGAAAAGAAUGCUACUACACUACAGCAGGGGAAAAAAAAACCAAUAAGACCUCCAGCAUUGCACAAGCCAAAGUACUUCCUAACCGCAGAGCUCAUUUGUGAGGUUUUACCAGAACUUUCAGGAAGAUACCUAAACUGAUGUGUAGUUAAUACAGCAAGUUAUGCACCACAGCCAUAGGUAAGCAGAUAAAUACCUUAGAUAUCUCACUCUUACAAGCAAUUUGUACUGUAUAUGAAGCUUCAGGAAACUGCCACUCAGCAUGUGGGGUCUGAUACCACCAGGAAAGCUGGCCAAACUGGUCUGGGGUGGCCAUGACAGUGGAAAAGUGUAAGGAUCCUGGUCAAUCUAGCACACUGAAGUUAACUUAAUGUUUAAGCAAUGAAAAUAACUGCACGGAGUCAAAAAUGCCAUUAUCUGUUAGAAUAAAAAUGGACAGUUGCAUCCCUUUUAGAACCUCUGGCUUUGUUCCAUAGAUAGCUUCCCACCUUUCUUUCAGGACUGCUUUGAUAAGAUGAAAGUAUUUUCAGAAACCCCGGGUCUAGCAGAACUGUUUGAAAGAAGUGAGCAAGUGAGGCAAGACAAAAUGGUUGGAGGUGGGCAGACUGUUGAGUAGAUUGCCAAAAGGUGGUAGUCAGGGGACCCAGAGGACUUCCCUGUCUGUCCUGCCUGCCUGCCCCACCCGCCCUGCCCUACUUGCCUUGCCCGCCUGCUGUGCUUGGCUUUGCCUGUCCUACCUCCUCCUAACUGCCCUGUCUGCUUGUAUCCCACUGCAAGUUGAGACAGAAUUAACUUGCUCCUCCAAAAUACUCACUCCUGUAAAAUCAAUGUUCUCCUCCCACUAGCAUAAAACUCUUCUGGUGACAACAGCCUGUGACCAGUUCCAACAAUAACCCUCACAAAUCUUGUGAUCUUAUGCUUAUGGAGAGCUUUACUGAGUUUGUGCAUUUUCAGAAGAGCACUGCCAUUUGAACGUCAGUCUAGUCCUUCUUUGAAAUGCUCAUUCCAUCAAGAGUAAGGCUGCAUUUACAGCCACUCCUCAGAAGGCUCUGUGCAGAUGCAGGAACACUCUUGUAAUUCUAGUUUGAUAAUAAUAAUUGACAGUUUUAAUCACACUGUCAAAUUUGAUAUACCUAAUUUUAAGCCUAGCUGAUUUGGACUGUUUCUCCCCUCCUCUCCCCCUUGCUUUCUCCUACCCCUUCUCUGAUUUUAAUUCUUUCAACAGUGUUCUGAAUAACAAAAAACUUGCAAGAAUAAAGAUGAGGGCAAGUCCCCGCAGCAUUUCUCACUUAUCAAACAUCCAAGGGAUUUAGCUUGUGAAAGGGGAUCAGUCACCAGCAGGAGGGGAGCCGUGGCUUGCACUCACAGCACUGUCAGGCACACAUCAUUGAACGACUACCAGAUUCUGAAGCACUGUGCGUCUAAAAUGGAACAGAGCUGAGUCCAAUACCACACAGAUCGAACAGUGCCACUUGGACAAUGAUUUUUUCAGCAUAAAAACCUUACAUGUAAAAGUAGAGGAUAAAAUGAAGGGAAUUGCCCACUAACACUGUAUAGGUGGGACUCUUAGGCAAGGAGCUGCACUUGUUCUAAAAAAGUAUUGGUUAGGUUUGUGUUAAUCUUCUCUGCCUGAAAAUUCAAGCAUAGUAUAUGGUUAUGAAGGUCCUUGAUGGUAUUCUGCCCUGGGCUGCUGCACAGCUUUACAUGUAUGCACACAUUUCCUUCUGCAACCCAGGCAGGUGCCUGUGGUUCAUUCCCCUUCUCACUGUUCAAGCAAACCU
ensembl:lncRNA